rnacentral:rRNA from 1 species
CAAACGCUGGCGGCGUGCCUAACACAUGCAAGUCGUACGAGAAAGUCGGCUUCGGCCGAUGAGUACAGUGGCGCACGGGUGAGUAGCGCGUGGGUAAUCUGCCCCCGGUCAGGAAUAACCCGCCGAAAGGCGGGCUAAUACCCGAUAACACUGACGCUCCGCGGAGCGUCUUUCAAAGAAGGCCUCUGUUUACAAGCUUUCGCCGGAGGAUGAGCCCGCGUACCAUUAGCUAGUUGGCAGGGUAAUGGCCUACCAAGGCUACGAUGGUUAGCUGGUCUGAGAGGAUGGCCAGCCACACUGGAACUGAGACAUGGUCCAGACUCCUACGGGAGGCAGCAGUGAGGAAUCUUGCGCAAUGGGGGAAACCCUGACGCAGCAACGCCGCGUGAGUGAGGAAGGCCUUCGGGUCGUAAAGCUCUGUCAGAUGGGAAGAAAUGGAUGGGGGCUAAUAUCGCCCAUCCUUGACGGUACCAUCAGAGGAAGCACCGGCUAACUCCGUG